GGAGGGGUUCCCGAGUGGCCAAAGGGAACAGACUGUAAAUCUGUCGGCGGAUGCCUUCGGAGGUUCGAAUCCUCCCCCCUCCACCA
rnacentral:tRNA from 1 species